rnacentral:lncRNA from 1 species
GCUGAGGCUCUUUGAUCUACAGUAGGAGUCCCGGUAGACCACAGCCCAUGGUAUGCACAUGGACCGUGGUAUCCCCAGGAGCCAGGAAUAAAACAAUCUCACGAUGGGCUCCCUAACACAACAAAGAAUGCAGAAACCAAUUGGCAUUCAACAAUAGGCCAGACUCUGGGACAGCUGCUGCCUUGAGUGCUCUGUGGUCCAGGGUGCAUGGGAGAUUCGGAAAGAAAGUUCACAAGUCGGGUGUGGUGGUGGCUUGUGCCCAUAAUCCUAUCACACCAAAGGCCGAUGCAGGAGGAUUGCUUAUAGUCUGGGGUCAGCCUGAUUUAGAGUAAUUCAAGAUAGUCUGGACUGGAGGUGGGGGAGGGAGAGAGAGAGUGGGAGGGAGAGGGAGGGAGAGAGGGAGAGGGCAAGGGAGAGCAGGAUGAAGCCGCGGGGCUUCACUAUAGAUUGGCAUAUCUAUAAACAAGAAAGUCUAAGAAUUGAAGGUCUACAUUACAGGCAACACCAGAGCACACAAGACUCCGAGCAGCUCAUUGUUUUGACAUCCAAGAGCUGAAGCAGGAGGCAACAUUUUAAACAGCCACAAACCAGGCAUCGCUCCUCUGUAAGCACAUACAGAUGAGCCUCUCAGCCCAUGGUAGUUCAGUGAGGAUACUGUACUCAUCUUGGGACAGCUUAAAGCAUUCUGGGCAUCAAACCCUCAUCACGUGUCAGAUCAGCGGUUCUCAACCUGUGGGUCAUGACCUUUUAAGGGGUCAUACAUCAGAUAUUCUGCACAUCAGAUAUUUAUAUUACAAUUCACGACAAAAGCAAAAAUUAGAGCUAUGAAGUAGCAACAGAAUAAUUCUAUGUUUGGGGCACAUCACUACAUCAGGCACUGUACUAAAAAGGGUCACAGUAUUAGGAAGGCUGAGAACCACCGUGUUAGACUCACUGUGUAGGCUCGUCUUUAAGCCCUCUUGUGCUUGGGUACCCAGUUCUAGAAGUCCAGCGUACCUGAUCUCAGGCAUGAGCCUGGACAUGGUUGUUGUUUCUUGCAAAUCCCUGGUAGGGAAUUAAAGAUAACAUUAGGCCUCCACAGAGAACACAGCAGUGCUCAAAGUCCUGUCCAAGCCACUUCUUUCCCUAACACCAUGCACACCCAAUCUCAUUGGGUAGGUGCAGCUAUUCUUGCCCGAGGCUGAGGUCAUGGCUUGCCGCCCUCCCUGUCAUGGCUAGCAUUAACAAUCCACUUGAAAUAUCUAAAAUUACCUGGCAGUUAGGCCUCUGGGGGAAUCAUCUUGGACUGUAUAAGAAGCAGAAUUCAAGCUUAGGACACACUCAUUACUUCUGGUUUCUUAUCUGGGGACCAGUGAAUUCAGGUUCCUGCUUCCUUGACAGCAUCAUGCUGGAUGUCCCCUGGAAACUACGAGCUACGGUCAACCCUCCCUCCUUUCUCUGGCUUUUGCUAGAGGUUAUUUUGUCAUGGUGUACUAGUUGCUGUUGCUAGGAUAAAACACAGUGACCAAAAUCAAGUUCUAGG